rnacentral:lncRNA from 1 species
UUAAUAAUAUAACAAUAUUUCUCUAAUUUUUAAGAAUAUUUUCUUCUUGUUAAAUAUAAUUGCAUUUCUCCAUUAUCUUAUUUUCGUCUUUUUAAAUAUAAUAUCAUUUUACCUUAUUUUCUCUCUUAUCUAUUUCAUGUAUUCUUUCUUCUCACUUUCUUUAAAUAAUUAAACAAAGCAUUAGUUCAUAUAAGCGCUUGUAGCCCUUCCUCCACUAACGUUUUGUUUUUUAAUAUUUUCUCUUAUUAAUUUAUUCACAUCAUUAAUUUCCUGUCUGGGUUUGCAAUUUCUUAUAAUGUCAUAUUCCACCAUUCAAAUUCAAUCCACGCCACCUGCAAUCAGCAUUCAUCCAAAAGUUUAUAUCAUUUUCAGUAUUAAGCUCUCAGAGCCUAUCUCCUUCCCCACCAAAAAUUUAUUCCCUGUAAUACAAAACAAAACUAUAAGAAUAUGGUAAAUUAAUAAUAACAUGAAAAAUAAUAAUUCAAAAUACCAAUCAAGACAUAAAAUAAAGGAAACGGGAGAAAAUGCUUUUUUUAAAGAAAGAAAAGGAAAAUCAAGUAUUUGACCACAAAGAAAAUCAAUAAAAUACGUAUUUCACACAAGUAAAAAAGGACAUGUGAAUUUUACUAAAAAAGAAGAAAAAAAAAGGAG